UACGGAGGAUCCGAGCGUUAUCCGGAUUUAUUGGGUUUAAAGGGUGCGUAGGCGGCCUAUCAAGUCAGAGGUGAAAGACGGUAGCUCAACUAUCGCAGUGCCUUUGAAACUGGUGGGCUUGAAUGUACUUGAGGUGGGCGGAAUGUGACAAGUAGCGGUGAAAUGCAUAGAUAUGUCACAGAACCCCGAUUGCGAAGGCAGCUCACUAAAGUAUGAUUGACGCUGAUGCACGAAAGCGUGGGGAUCAAACAGG
rnacentral:rRNA from 1 species